GUGUUUAAUAUACACCCAAAGGUUUAAGAAACAAAUGUCUUCCUUUGUGCUAACUAAUGCCAUGACUUUGUACUUCAUUUCUACAAUUUUGCCAUGUUUCAGAUGUUAUCUGAUACUGGCUUCAGUUCUUACAGGGCAUACUGUUUCAGCCUGAUCCUUGAGCUCCCUGACAUUAGCAUGCCUUCGCUUAGGGCUAUCAUCUACAAAGUAAGCAAUGGCUUCUCGUUCUUUUUAGUUUGCCUGACUGGAGAUCAUUAGGACUCAUCUAUACUAGAAUUGGUGGUCCCUCAUCUGCAAGUACAGAAAGAAGGCGCAGCUUGGAAAUAGAGAAGGGGUUGCAGAUAGUGGAACAUUGUUGAGUGUUGGCUUUCAAGGGUUAUAGCAUGAAUCAAUUAAACUAAGCCCUUCAUGCAUAAAGCAAAGCUUUUGCCUCUUUGCCAUGGGAUUUUGCUAGUGUGUGCAAAUUAAGGGGGUGGGAUUGAAAGUGAAAAAGGGUUGAUGAUGAUGAAGCAUCACCAUCCAAAACUGAAGAGGGGGAAAAGAAAAAGCAUAUUUCAAGAUACAAGGCUGGGUAUUUUUCUCAUUGAAAACUGUGGUGAAAACUUUUUAUGUGUUAUCAUUGUAGAAUCAUCAAAUAUGUAAGAUAUUAUUUUGUUUUCUCUUCUUGUGUGUGUGUGUGGACCCUUCACCACUUUCUGAUUUAUUUAUUUAUUUAUUUAUUUAUGGUGGUGAAAGGAACCUUUCAUCAAAUAACUUAGGCAGCAGGUAGCUGGAA